rnacentral:lncRNA from 1 species
AAUUUUCAAGUCAAGCUAGUUCUCUGAAUUUAUAAAAAGAGUAAAAUAUAGAUUAAUAAGCUAGACAGUCCAGUAAGCAAUGAAUACUUUGAUUAGAUAAUUCAUAUGAUAAUAUGGAUUGUAAUAAUCAAAGUACAAUUUAUCAUUAAUCAGUACCUAAACGUAAUCAAAUUUAUUUUCAAAAUAUGAAUUCAGUAAUAUCAGCAUCUUUCAAAUCUUCAUAUAUAUAAUCAUAUGUCUUAUUUUGAAACCAAUCAUAUUCUAAAAUCUAAUUCAAAAUAAAUUUUACUUAACUCAUCAAUCUUUAACUAUGACCACACUUAGACUAUAUG